rnacentral:rRNA from 1 species
CGGGGAAUAUUCCGCAAUGGACGAAAGUCUGACGGAGCAACGCCGCGUGAGUGAUGAAGGUUUUCGGACUGUAAAGCUCUGUUGUUUAGGACGAAAGUGCCUGUUGCGAACAGUUACAGGUAUUGACGGUACUAAACGAGGAAGCCACGGCUAACUACGUGCCAGCAGCCGCGGUAAUACGUAGGUGGCAAGCGUUGUCCGGAAUUAUUGGGCGUAAAGAGCAUGUAGGCGGAGAUUUAAGUCUGUCGUGAAAAUGCGGGGCUCAACCCCGUAUUGCGAUGGAAACUGAAUUUCUUGAGUGCAGGAGAGGAAAGGGGAAUUCCCAGUGUAGCGGUGAAAUGCGUAGAUAUUGAGAGGAACACCAGUGGCGAAGGCGCCUUUCUGGACUGUGUCUGACGCUGAGAUGCGAAAGCCAGGGUAGCGAACGG